AGUUUUUUUUUGGGUUUAGUGAUUAGUGUUUUGAAUUUAGUUUUGGAAGGUUUGAGUUGAUGUUGGGGUAAGAACAUUUCAAAAUCAGAACAAAAUGUACUAUACUAUUUCGUUUGUUACUAUUCUAUUUUAAUAAUACUUCAUAUUAUAUACUAUUUGCAUAUUUUGAUAUUUGGAUUAGGGUUUAUAGUUUCUUUUAGGGUUUAGUGAUUAGUGUUUUGAAUUUAGUUUUGGAAGGUUUGGGUUGACGUUUGGGUAAAAACAUUUUAAAAUCAGAACAAUAUGUACUAUACUAUUUCGUUUGUUACUAUUCUAUUUUAAUAAUA
rnacentral:lncRNA from 1 species